rnacentral:pre_miRNA from 1 species
UCCGUCCCAAAAUUCUUGUCUUAGAUUUGUCUAGAUACGGAUGUAUCAAGUCACAUUUUAGUAUUAGAUACAUCUGUAUCUAGACAAAUCUAAGACAAGAAAUUUGGGACAGA